GAUGAACGCUGGCGGCGUGCCUAAUACAUGCAAGUCGAGCGAACGGACGAGAAGCUUGCUUCUCUGAUGUUAGCGGCGGACGGGUGAGUAACACGUGGCUAACCUACCUAUAAGACUGGGAUCACUUCGGGAAACCGGAGCUAAUACCGGAUAAUAUUUUGAACCGCAUGGUUCAACAGUGAAAGACGGUCUUGCUGUCACUUAUAGAUGGAUCCGCGCUGCAUUAGCUAGUUGGUACGGUAACGGCUUACCAAGGCAACGAUGCAUAGCCGACCUGAGAGGGUGAUCGGCCACACUGGAACUGAGACACGGUCCAGACUCCUACGGGAGGCAGCAGUAGGGAAUCUUCCGCAAUGGGCGAAAGCCUGACGGAGCAACGCCGCGUGAGUGAUGAAGGUCUUCGGAUCGUAAAACUCUGUUAUUAGGGAAGAACAUAUGUGUAAUUAACUGUGCACAUCUUGACGGUACCUAAUCAGAAAGCCACGGCUAACUACGUG
rnacentral:rRNA from 1 species